GUUGGGCACUAGGUGUGGGUCUCAACCAACGAGAUCCGCGCCGUCGCUAACGCAUUAAGUGCCCCGCCUGGGGAGUACGGUCGCAAGACUAAAACUCAAAGGAAUUGACGGGGGCCCGCACAAGCAGCGGAGCGUGUUGCUUAAUUCGAUGUUACGCGAAGAACCUUACCUGGGUUUGACAUGUAGGGAAAAGCUCUGGAGACAGGGUGUCCUAACGGGCCCUACACAGGUGGUGCAUGGCUGUCGUCAG
rnacentral:rRNA from 1 species